AACAACUAGACCUUUACUGGCAAUUUUCCUUUUUUUGAGUUGACAUUCUUCGCACAUUUCUUUAAACAAAUUCAGAGCAUGCCUUGUCACAUUCGCGUACUUCUUGUUGACCUCUUUUAACAUUUUAUCUCUUCCACCAUGUCCAGUGUUCAAAUGUGCUCUCAUUAUAAUGCUGUAUAUUUCCUCUGCAUAUGCAUAAUAUAGGAUAGGAUCUGUCAAUGACUGUCGCUUUUUAAUCAAUUUUUCUACAUCACCACAGUGUAACACAUCAAAUCUGCAAUUUCAAAGUAUAUAAAUUUGUUAAUUUGUAAUUUUUCAACGGUUGCCUUAUACAAUUAGCAUUAAAAAUCAAUUUAGUAGCAGAAAAAAGAGAAAAAAAAACAAAAAGUCUCAAGUGUUUUGUCAAUGAAUUGGUGCAUGCUAAAUUUCCAGUGGCAAAUAUUUCAUUCAUAUUCAAUAGGUCUAUGAGGCAACUUAAUGAGAGUUGUCUCAUUGGCAAUCAUACCAC
rnacentral:lncRNA from 1 species